rnacentral:rRNA from 1 species
GGGUUGUGAGGUUAAGCGACUAAGCGUACACGGUGGAUGCCCUGGCAGUCAGAGGCGAUGAAGGACGUGCUAAUCUGCGAUAAGCGUCGGUAAGGUGAUAUGAACCGUUAUAACCGGCGAUUUCCGAAUGGGGAAACCCAGUGUGAUUCGUCACACUAUCAUUAACUGAAUCCAUAGGUUAAUGAGGCGAACCGGGGGAACUGAAACAUCUAAGUACCCCGAGGAAAAGAAAUCAACCGAGAUUCCCCCAGUAGCGGCGAGCGAACGGGGAGGAGCCCAGAGCCUGAAUCAGUGUGUGUGUUAGUGGAAGCGUCUGGAAAGGCGCGCGAUACAGGGUGACAGCCCCGUACACAAAAAUGCACAUGCUGUGAGCUCGAUGAGUAGGGCGGGACACGUGGUAUCCUGUCUGAAUAUGGGGG